GUAUAACAAAACCUCCGAGUGAUUAUAACCAAGACUUACCCGUCAAGGUUGCAUAACUUAUUGAUCCAAUCAUAUUGAUCAACGAAACAAGUUACCCUAGGGAUAACAGCGCAAUCCUAUUUGAGAGUUCAUAUCGACAAUAGGGUUUACGACCUCGAUGUUGGAUCAGGACACCCAAAUGGUGCAGCCGCUAUUAAAGGUUCGUUUGUUCAACGAUUAAAGUCCUACGUGAUCUGAGUUCAGACCGGAGAA
rnacentral:rRNA from 1 species